AUGGCCAUGGCAGGCGUAGGAAGUCAGAGAGGUUCGUCGUCGUCGUCGAGGAUGCUCCUGCCGCGGAACAUCAGCCUCUCUACCGGGCAUCUCCCGGAAGCACUGGGCGGAGUCCCUCCGCCGCUCCGGCCAAACGUCAUCAACCCUUACGGCCGCCCCUACAGGUGCGCGCGGCUCGAUCGCCUUGGCAUGUCCACGUGCUAUACGAGGUUGAACGACGGAGUUGAUCUCGAUCGCAGGUACUGGCAGAUGUUCCUGAUCGUGCUGGUGGCCUACUCUGCGUGGGCGUCGCCGUUCGAGCUGGCCCUGGAGAAGGCCGCCUCCCGGGCGCACCUCGUCGUGGACCUGGUCGUCGACGUCUUCUUCUGCGCCGACAUCGUCGUCUCCUUCUUCGUCGCGUACCGCGACAGGUCCACCGACCUCCUCGUCGACGACCGUAGCAAGAUCGCCGCCAGCCACAGCUCCAAGAAUACGCGGAGGAGGUGGCCCGGGUCGGUGUCGGCGCCGUCCGGCACGGGCCACGGGCCCGCUUCCAAGCGCGUCUGCGCGUCGGCCACCCACGCCGUGUCCUUCAAGUGCCACUUCCACCGCACCAACUCACAGGGUCACGGCCAUGGCCAGGGCCAGGGAAGCCGCCCUUCUUUGCCCCCUUCACCGGCCGCGGCCAACGCGGUGCCGCGGCACCCGGCCUCGCCGUCCUCGUCCUCCAGCACCGUCGCGACCCAGUUGGAGAAAGACACCAGGCUGAGCUACUUCUGGACUAGGUUUAUCAAGCUAUUCUGCGUGGCUCUGUUUGCGCUGCACUGCGCGUCGUGCGGGUACCUGUGGCUCGCGUUCCACUACCGGGACAAGGAGCAGACCUGGAUCGGCAGCCUCCGGGGCGACUUCAAGGAGCGCAGCGUGUGGUUCGCCUACACGUACGCAGUGUACUGGUCCAUGACCACCAUGGCCACGGUCGGCUACGGCGACCUGCACGCCGCCAACACCGGCGAGAAGCUCUUCAGCAUCCUCUUCAUGCUCUGCAACAUGGGCAUCGCCUGCUACGUCAUCGGCAACAUGACCAACCUCGUCGUCCACGGUGCCACCACCACAUUCCGCAUGGUGGCGAGGUACGGGAAGGCGAACCGGCUGCCGGUGUGGAUGCGGGAGCAUAUGGUGGAGAGCUUGCAGCUGAGGUUCCAGAUGGCGGAGCUGCUGAUGCCCGACGAGGUGCUUUCGGAGCUGCCCAAGGCCGCGCGGUCGGCCGUCGCGCAGCACCUCUACAAGGCCGCGGUCGAGGACUGCUACCUCUUCCGGGGGGUCUCGGACAACCUCGUCGUGCAGCUCGUCUCCGAGAUGAAGGCGGAGUUCUUUCCGCCCAAGAUGGACAUUGUCUUGGAGAACGAGAUCCCGACGGACUGCUACAUCAUCGCGUCCGGCCAAGUGGAUGUGUUGAGAACUGCUAAGGACGAUGGCCUGGAGAAGUUUGUCAUGCGGGUAGGGCCACAUGGCAUGGCGGGUGAUAUCGGCGUGAUGUUCAACAUCCCGCAGCCAUUCACCAUCCGGAGCAGAACCCUAACCCAGGUUAUACGCAUAAGCCGUAGCCACUUGCAGAACACCGUCCGGCCUGCUACUGCAGACGGGGACACUAUAUUCUCCAAUUUUGCUCAGUAUCUUGAAUCUCUGAAGGUGCGACAUGGAGAGGAGCUAACAUUUGCCAGAGAUGUCGGGCACGACACACUCCCGUUUCAGAACGGCGACCCGGUACGUGUUGCCAGAGAUGGUGGCAUGGCGGGCAACCGCGCGGCAGGGAAGCUCGUAUGUCUGCCCGGUUCACUCGAAGAACUGAUGAAGCUUGGCGAAGACAAGUUUGGAAUGGCGGCGAGACAUGUACUCACCGCCGACGGCGCGGAGGUGGAUGACGUUCGCGCGCUGAGAGACGGCGAUCACCUCUUCUUAAGUUGA
rnacentral:rRNA from 1 species